UUUCAUGUUAAUUGACUCUGUAUUCCGUGGUGUCAGUAGGAUUGUCCUUUUGAAUUCGUUAUGUUUAUCUUAAAGUAAACUUCUUUUCUUUUUUUUGGUCUAAUGAUAUUCUGAAUGAUGAAUUAUGUGUGCAGCUCAUGCCUAGGUUUCAGCCUGAGAAUCUCGCUCAAAAUGCACUUAUCUUCAAACGUGUAAGCGAAAUGGCCAAGAGGAAGGGAUGCACCCCUUCACAACUUGCAUUGGCCUGGGUUCACCAUCAAGGAAGUGAUGUGUGCCCUAUACCUGGCACUACCAAGAUCGAAAACUUUAACCAGAAUAUUGGAGCACUGUCAGUAAAACUCACACCCGAGGAGAUGG
rnacentral:lncRNA from 1 species